GCACUUUCAGUUGUGAGGAAAAGUUAGUAGUUAAUACCUGCUAGCCGUGACGUUAACAACAGAAGAAGCACCGGCUAACUCCGUGCCAGCAGCCGCGGUAAUACGGAGGGUGCGAGCGUUAAUCGGAAUUACUGGGCGUAAAGCGCACGCAGGCGGUUUGUUAAGCUAGAUGUGAAAGCCCCGGGCUCAACCUGGGAUGGUCAUUUAGAACUGGCAGACUAGAGUCUUGGAGAGGGGAGUGGAAUUCCAGGUGUAGCGGUGAAAUGCGUAGAUAUCUGGAGGAACAUCAGUGGCGAAGGCGACUCCCUGGCCAAAGACUGACGCUCAUGUGCGAAAGUGUGGGUAGCGAACAGGAUUAGAUACCCUGGUAGUCCACACCGUAAACGCUGUCUACUAGCUGUGUGUGCCUUUAAGGCGUGCGUAGCGAAGCUAACGCGCUAAGUAGACCGCCUGGGGAGUACGGCCGCAAGGUUAAAACUCAAAUGAAUUGACGGGGGCCCGCACAAGCGGUGGAGCAUGUGGUUUAAUUCGAUGCAACGCGAAGAACCUUACCUACACUUGACAUGCUGAGAAGUUACUAGAGAUAGUUUCGUGCCUUCGGGAACUCAGACACAGGUGCUGCAUGGCUGUCGUCAGCUCGUGUCGUG
rnacentral:rRNA from 1 species